UACGGGGGGGGGCAAGCGUUGUUCGGAAUUACUGGGCGUAAAGGGCUCGCAGGCGGCCGACUAAGUCAGACGUGAAUCCUCGUCGUCUAACCAAGGAAUGGCGUCUGAUACUGGACGGCUUGAGUUCGGGAGAGGAGAGUGGUAACUUCCCAGUGUAGAGGUAGAAAUUCGUAGAUGACUGGGAAGGAACACCGGUGGCGAAGGCGGCUCUCUGGACCGAGACUGACGCAUGAGGCGGCGAAAAGCGUGGGGAGCAAACACGG
rnacentral:rRNA from 1 species